rnacentral:rRNA from 1 species
UACAUGUGGGGCAAGCGUUGUUCGGAAUUACUGGGCAUAAAGGGUGCGUAGGUGGUUUGGUAAGUCAGUGGUGAAAUCGUCCGGCCCAACCGGACACGUGCCAAUGAUACUGCCGAACUCGAGUGCGUGAGGGGUGGGGGAACGAGCAGUGUAGCGGUGAAAUGCGUAGAUAUUGGGAGGAACACCGGUGGCGAAGGCGGCCACCUGGACGGGUACUGACGCUGAUGCGCGAAGCGUGGGGAGCAAACAGG